AGUGAACGCUGGCGGUAGGCCUAACACAUGCAAGUCGAACGGCAGCACAGGAGAGCUUGCUCUCUAGGUGGCGAGUGGCGGACGGGUGAGGAAUACAUCGGAAUCUGCCCAGUCGUGGGGGAUAACGUAGGGAAACUUACGCUAAUACCGCAUACGACCUUCGGGUGAAAGAGGGGGAUCGCAAGACCUCUCGCGAUUGGAUGAGCCGAUGUCGGAUUAGCUAGUUAGCGGGGUAAUGGCCCACCAAGGCGACGAUCCGUAGCUGGUCUGAGAGGAUGAUCAGCCACACUGGAACUGAGACACGGUCCAGACUCCUACGGGAGGCAGCAGUGGGGAAUAUUGGACAAUGGGCGCAAGCCUGAUCCAGCCAUACCGCGUGGGUGAAGAAGGCCUUCGGGUUGUAAAGCCCUUUUGUUGGGAAAGAAAUUUUUCAGGCUAAUACCCUGGGAGGAUGACGGUACCCAAAGAAUAAGCACCGGCUAACUUCGUG
rnacentral:rRNA from 1 species